rnacentral:rRNA from 1 species
ACUAAGCGUACACGGUGGAUGCCCUGGCAGUCAGAGGCGAUGAAGGACGUGCUAAUCUGCGAUAAGCGCCGGUAAGGUGAUAUGAACCGUUAUAACCGGCGAUACCCGAAUGGGGAAACCCAGUGUGAUUCGUCACACUAUCAUUAACUGAAUCCAUAGGUUAAUGAGGCGAACCGGGGGAACUGAAACAUCUAAGUACCCCGAGGAAAAGAAAUCAACCGAGAUUCCCCCAGUAGCGGCGAGCGAACGGGGAGGAGCCCAGAGCCUGAAUCAGCAUGUGUGUUAGUGGAAGCGUCUGGAAAGGCGCGCGAUACAGGGUGACAGCCCCGUACACAAAAGCGCAUGUGCUGUGAGCUCGAUGAGUAGGGCGGGACACGUGGUAUCCUGUCUGAAUAUGGGGGGACCAUCCUCCAAGGCUAAAUACUCCUGACUGACCGAUAGUGAACCAGUACCGUGAGGGAAAGGCGAAAAGAACCCCGGCGAGGGGAGUGAAAAAGAACCUGAAACCGUGUACGUACAAGCAGUGGGAGCNUGAGGGAAAGGCGAAAAGAACCCCGGCGAGGGGAGUGAAAAAGAACCUGAAACCGUGUACGUACAAGCAGUGGGAGCCCCACCACUAAGCCAGUGGUGAACUCCACAUACGCAUCCUUUGCUGAGGAUACGGUUAACGGAGCGCAAGCGACGUUCAACCGCAAAAGAAGCAGAGGGGGCUUAGUGGUGGGGUGACUGCGUACCUUUUGUAUAAUGGGUCAGCGACUUAUAUUCUGUAGCAAGGUUAACCGUAUAGGGGAGCCGGAGGGAAACCGAGUCUUAAUUGGGCGUUAAGUUGCAGGGUAUAGACCCGAAACCCGGUGAUCUAGCCAUGGGCAGGUUGUAAUAGCUCACUGGUCGAGUCGGCCUGCGCGGAAGAUGUAACGGGGCUAAACCAUGCACCGAAGCUGCGGCAGCGAACGUAUCACUUAAAGCGAUUCAGCGGGUUACGAUUGACGGAGCGAAGCGACGUCAAAGCGUAUACAAAGUCGAGUCGGUUUAAGGAUACGUUCGUUGGGUAGGGGAGCGUUCUGUAAGCCUGUGAAGGUGUGUCGUGAGGCAUGCUGGAGGUAUCAGAAGUGCGAAUGCUGACAUAAGUAACGAUAAAGCGGGUGAAAAGCCCGCUCGCCGGAAGACCANAGGGAAACCGAGUCUUAACCGGGCGUUAAGUUGCAGGGUAUAGACCCGAAACCCGGUGAUCUAGCCAUGGGCAGGUUGAAGGUUGGGUAACACUAACUGGAGGACCGAACCGACUAAUGUUGAAAAAUUAGCGGAUGACCUGUGGCUGGGGGUGAAAGGCCAAUCAAACCGGGAGAUAGCUGGUUCUCCCCGAAAGCUAUUUAGGUAGCGCCUCGUGAAUUCAUCUCCGGGGGUAGAGCACUGUUUCGGCUAGGGGGCCAUCCCGGCUUACCAACCCGAUGCAAACUGCGAAUACCGGAGAAUGUUAUCACGGGAGACACACGGCGGGUGCUAACGUCCGUCGUGAAGAGGGAAACAACCCAGACCGCCAGCUAAGGUCCCAAAGUCAUGGUUAAGUGGGAAACGAUGUGGGAAGGCCCAGACAGCCAGGAUGUUGGCUUAGAAGCAGCCAUCAUUUAAAGAAAGCGUAAUAGCUCACUGGUCGAGUCGGCCUGCGCGGAAGAUGUAACGGGGCUAAACCAUGCACCGAAGCUGCGGCAGCGAUGCUGGAGGUAUCAGAAGUGCGAAUGCUGACAUAAGUAACGAUAAAGCGGGUGAAAAGCCCGCUCGCCGGAAGACCAAGGGUUCCUGUCCAACGUUAAUCGGGGCAGGGUGAGUCGACCCCUAAGGCGAGGCCGAAAGGCGUAGUCGAUGGGAAACGGGUUAAUAUUCCCGUACUUGGUGUUACUGCGAAGGGGGGACGGAGAAGGCUAUGUUGGCCGGGCGACGGUUGUCCCGGUUUAAGCGUGUAGGUGUGUGUUCCAGGUAAAUCCGGUUCACUUUAACACUGAGGCGUGAUGACGAGGCACUACGGUGCUGAAGCAACAAAUGCCCUGCUUCCAGGAAAAGCCUCUAAGCAUCAGGUAACAUCAAAUCGUACCCCAAACCGACACAGGUGGUCAGGUAGAGAAUACCAAGGCGCUUGAGAGAACUCGGGUGAAGGAACUAGGCAAAAUGGUGCCGUAACUUCGGGAGAAGGCACGCUGACAUGUAGGUGAAGUGAUUUACUCAUGGAGCUGAAGUCAGUCGAAGAUACCAGCUGGCUGCAACUGUUUAUUAAAAACACAGCACUGUGCAAACACGAAAGUGGACGUAUACGGUGUGACGCCUGCCCGGUGCCGGAAGGUUAAUUGAUGGGGUCAGCGCAAGCGAAGCUCCUGAUCGAAGCCCCGGUAAACGGCGGCCGUAACUAUAACGGUCCUAAGGUAGCGAAAUUCCUUGUCGGGUAAGUUCCGACCUGCACGAAUGGCGUAAUGAUGGCCAGGCUGUCUCCACCCGAGACUCAGUGAAAUUGAACUCGCUGUGAAGAUGCAGUGUACCCGCGGCAAGACGGAAAGACCCCGUGAACCUUUACUAUAGCUUGACACUGAACAUUGAGCCUUGAUGUGUAGGAUAGGUGGGAGGCUUUGAAGCGUGGACGCCAGUCUGCGUGGAGCCGGCCUUGAAAUACCACCCUUUAAUGUUUGAUGUUCUAACGUGGACCCGUGAUCCGGGUUGCGGACAGUGUCUGGUGGGUAGUUUGACUGGGGCGGUCUCCUCCUAAAGAGUAACGGAGGAGCACGAAGGUUGGCUAAUCCUGGUCGGACAUCAGGAGGUUAGUGCAAUGGCAUAAGCCAGCUUGACUGCGAGCGUGACGGCGCGAGCAGGUGCGAAAGCAGGUCAUAGUGAUCCGGUGGUUCUGAAUGGAAGGGCCAUCGCUCAACGGAUAAAAGGUACUCCGGGGAUAACAGGCUGAUACCGCCCAAGAGUUCAUAUCGACGGCGGUGUUUGGCACCUCGAUGUCGGCUCAUCACAUCCUGGGGCUGAAGUAGGUCCCAAGGGUAUGGCUGUUCGCCAUUUAAAGUGGUACGCGAGCUGGGUUUAGAACGUCGUGAGACAGUUCGGUCCCUAUCUGCCGUGGGCGCUGGAGAACUGAGGGGGGCUGCUCCUAGUACGAGAGGACCGGAGUGGACGCAUCACUGGUGUUCGGGUUGUCAUGCCAAUGGCACUGCCCGGUAGCUAAAUGCGGAAGAGAUAAGUGCUGAAAGCAUCUAAGCACGAAACUUGCCCCGAGAUGAGUUCUCCCUGAGACUUNAGCUAAAUGCGGAAGAGAUAAGUGCUGAAAGCAUCUAAGCACGAAACUUGCCCCGAGAUGAGUUCUCCCUGAGACUUAGAGUCUCCUGAAGGAACGUUGAAGACGACGACGUUGAUAGGCCGGGUGUGUAAGCGCAGCGAUGCGUUGAGCUAACCGGUACUAAUGAACCGUGAGGCUUAACC